rnacentral:lncRNA from 1 species
GCCUCACUUCUUUAGCAUCUGAAGUGAGAUGUGUCCAUUCUUUUUCUUUUUUUUUGUCAGCAUAAAGUAAGGUGUGGAUGUGAAGGACUCAGGGCCAUGUCCAGCAUGGGCAACAGCAAUAGCAGCACUUAUGCAAUGGAAAGAUGAUCCACAGCCCAGAUGAAAUUAAAGCCUUUGGUGAAAAAGAUAAAUCCAAAGUAAUUUUAUGCUGAUUGAAGAAAAGAAGUAAACAGAGUUCCAGAAAGCAACUGCAAAUACUCAUUUUGAAAAAGAAAACAAAACAAAAACAAGGGAGACAUUUUAAAAGGUAU